GUGGGGAAUCUUCCGCAAUGGACGAAAGUCUGACGGAGCGACGCCGCGUGAGUGAAGAAGGCCUUCGGGUCGUAAAGCUCUGUCAUCAGGGACGAACGGCCGGUGGAGUGGAAAGCCACCGGAUUGACGGUACCUGAGAAGGAAGCCACGGCUAACUACGUGCCAGCAGCCGCGGUAAUACGUAGGUGGCAAGCGUUGUCCGGAAUUAUUGGGCGUAAAGCGCGCGCAGGUGGGAUCUUAAGUCCAUUUUGAAAGUUCGGAGCUCAACUCCGUGAUGGGAUGGAAACUGGGAUUCUUGAGUACCGGAGAGGAAAGCGGAAUUCCCCGUGUAGCGGUGAAAUGCGUAGAUAUGGGGAGGAACACCAGUGGCGAAGGCGGCUUUCUGGACGGUGUCUGACACUGAGGCGCGAAAGCUAGGGGAGCGAACAGGAUUAGAUACCCUUGUAGUCC
rnacentral:rRNA from 1 species